rnacentral:lncRNA from 1 species
GAGGGGGCGGGGAGGGAGGGGAGGGAGAGAGGAGGAAGGGGUGAGAGGGAGAAACCUGCCGCGGCUCUCCGCCUCUUUGUCUGCUCUGGGACUUGGAACAAAAGGGGAAACUCUGAUGAACUCCUUCUCCAGCUCCCUGGACGCCCGAGUAUCUCUUUCUCGCAACUUUGUCAACGCGACUUUCUCCGCUGUCAGGCUGCGCAAAAGUAUCCUAGCGCCUCGCAGGCUGCAACAAUGGAAACAAUGUCCCUUCAAAGUGCGACGAAGUGGAGGGAGAAGGUGUCAUACCAGCGACUCCAAGAGUCAUGUCACCCACUUAGCAGGAGUACUUCUACUGAAAUGCCUUCGAAUUUCUCUUACUGGAUAUAUACCUACCAGCCGCUAGCAUGAAGAUGCCAGGACCGCUGCAAGUUAGCACUGGACAAAGUAGCAUCAACUUCUUCAUUUAGAGUUUCUUCAGUUAAAUUGCUGGGAUUUUCGACAAGGCUUUCCUUAUGUGGAUUAUUGGAGUGUGAUGCCCGAGAAUUCUCUACUUGUAGAAGCACGCCCACGGGACUGCAGAAGCCUUCACACCCACCCAGCACGCUCAGGGUUGAUGGCCUAACACUGGCUUAACACUCAUGUCGGCUGCACUAAUUGAAGUCACAUCCAAGUGGGUCAAUGCACUGAACAUAUCUGAUAUAGAAGGUCCCAGAUCCUGAAUUUUUAUCAAUGGUUUGCUGUAUAAGGCUUGCCUCCCAAAUAGCUGAGGACCCUUAUUUGGGAAGAUACGUUCUGAUGGUUAAGCAACAGCACAGAUGUCGAUGGGAAUGAGUGAUGGCCAUCCAGUGACCAGCUGGAUCUGACUGCCUUACAAGACGCAUGUGUAUGAUUAAGAGAGAGACAUUCGUGACUCCCAGAUGUACCUCCUUCCUGUCCCACAGUGUUCCUGAAGGGAGUGAGUUAUGGGGUAACUUAUAACACAGCAGGCUCUUCCUCAAGAUAGCUCUUGUCAAAACAGGAAGACGAAACUCGGGUUUCCAUGAGGAGACCACAGCUUGGGAUCCUGUCUGGAUGUACAAGCAGAAGCAUCUUCAUACUUUUCCAUUUCUAACCAUCAUGCCUCACCCCACCCUCCCAAGGCGACAUCUGCAGAGAGGUGGAACCAUCUAGGGAGGCCUGCCACUGUUUGCUGAGCUCCGGGUGAGGAUGAAGACACUUUGACAUGGCCAGCUUCAGACUCGGGAUCUGUCGGUGUUAGCAGCCGAAGGAGAAUGAGGAGGAAGAGGAGGAGAAAGAGGAGGAGGAAGUAAGACAGAGGGGGACAAGAGGACCAAGAGGGCACAUGGCUGAGGAGGAGGAGAACAACAACAACAACAACAACAACAACAACAACAAGAAGCUUGGUGGUGAAACUUGGAAGCCCUCUCCAGGAUGCAGCAGGUAGCUGAGGAGAAAACGAAGACUGACCAGCCCAGAGCUCAGAGCUUCCUCCCAUGCUCAGGAUUUACCACCAAUGCCAUUACAUCGGCCUCUUCUUGUAUGCCUCUGGAAACCACAUGUGUCCUCUGUUUGUAAUGGUUUGGCUAUGGUUGCUGGCCCCUCUUGGACAUUGUUUUCAGAACUUAAAGAAACAUUGCUUUAAAGAUUUAUUAGAACAUAUUUAAAAUAAAACCAUCUUCUCAUUUAGUAUGCAAUUGAUUCUUCCCAUUUCCUCAGUCAAAACUCAUUGAUCAAAUUUAUUUGAGAAAUCCAGACAUGUAUAUAGCGUAUUGGGGUUAUUCCCAUCCUCCCCCAUAUUCUCUUAUCUCCCUUCCAGCCCUGACGCCCUCAGUCCUCCCUAUGGGCCUAUUCACACAAUCAUGUCUUUUUGUUUUAUGAACCAUUGAUUUUAACCGGGGCCAUCUGUGUUGCCAUGGCUUUAGAAUUAUCUACUGGAACUGGUUGGCUCAAAAUAGACAAAGACUUUCCCUUCCCCCAAGUCCAUCAUAGCUAGGAAUUCAGUCCCUCCGGUCCCCUCCCCAAUUCAUAAUUGACUGUUAGAAAGCCUAGUUUAAUGCAGGCCCUGUGUAGGUACCCAUAGCUACUGUGAGGUCACACCUGAAGAUGUGAAGCCCUUUUCCCUGUCUUCCAUUUCCACUUCUGUGUUCCCUGAGCCCUAGAUGGGAUAGUAUGAAUGUUCUGAUAAUCCGACCAAGUGGUAGUAUAUGUGUUCACUUAGAUAAAACAAAGACAAUACCAAUAGGAAAUGUAUUAUAAGCCCUGCACAUGCUAAAAAUAUAUGUAGCAAAUAACAUUAUUAUAUAAAUUCAGGGUCAUUGCUCUAUGUCAAUGUCAGUGACGUAUCAGUUUCAAAGGAUUUAUAUCACUGUUAAGUUAGAAAUAAUCCACUCUUGCUUGUUGUACAGUGCAUUUGUCCAGAUAGCCUACAAAAAUG